ACGGAGGGUGCAAGCGUUAUCCGGAUUCACUGGGUUUAAAGGGUGUGUAGGCGGGUAUUUAAGUCAGUGGUGAAAUCUCCAGGCUCAACCUGGAAACUGCCAUUGAUACUAUUUAUCUUGAAUCUUGUUGAGGUGGGCGGAAUAUAUCAUGUAGCGGUGAAAUGCUUAGAUAUGAUAUAGAACACCGAUUGCGAAGGCAGCUCACUAAACAAGCAUUGACGCUGAGGCACGAAAGCGUGGGGAUCAAACAGGA
rnacentral:rRNA from 1 species